rnacentral:misc_RNA from 1 species
GAUGAAGAACGUAGUGAAAUGCGAUAAGUAAUGUGAAUUGCAGAAUUCAGUGAAUCAUCGAAUCUUUGAACGCACAUUGCGCCCGGUAGUAUUCUGCCGGGCAUGCCUGUUCGAGCGUCAUUUCAACCAUCAAGCCCCAGCGCUUGUGUUGGGGGCCUGCGACUGCCGCAGCCCCCUAAAAGCAGUGGCGGGCUCGCUAUCACACCGAGUGCAGUAGUUCAUCUUCUCUCCGGUCUUGUGAGGCGGGUUCCGGCCGUGAAACACCCCACUACAUUCAAGGUUGACCUCGGAUCAGGUAGGAAUACCCGCUGAACUUAAGCAUAUCAAUAAGCGGAGGA